CAGUCGCCACGGUAAUACGUAGGGAGCAAGCGUUGUUCGGAUUUACUGGGCGUAAAGGGCGCGUAGGCGGCGCGGUAAGUCACUUGUGAAAUCUCUGAGCUUAACUCAGAACGGCCAAGUGAUACUGCUGUGCUAGAGUGCGGAAGAGGCAACCGGAAUUCUUGGUGUAGCGGUGAAAUGCGUAGAUAUCAAGAGGAACACCUGAGGCGAAGGCGGGUUGCUGGGCCGACACUGACGCUGAUGCGCGAAAGCCAGGGGAGCAAACGGGAUUAGAUACCCGAGUAGUCCCUGUCUCUUAUAC
rnacentral:rRNA from 1 species